rnacentral:rRNA from 1 species
AUGACCUCGAUCAGGUAGUGCCCGUCAC